AAACCAGCACCUCAAGUGGUCAGGAGGAUUAUUGGGCCUAAAGCAUCCGUAGCCUGCUCUGUAAGUUUCCGGUUAAAUUCAUUAGCUCAACUAAUGGGCCGCCGAAAAUACUGUAGAACUAGGGAGUGGGAGAGGUAGACGGUAUUCGGUAGGAAGGGGUAAAAUCCUUUGAUCUAUUGAGGACCACCUGUGGCGAAGGCGGUCUACCAGAACACGUUCGACGGUGAGGGAUGAAAGCUGGGGGAGCAAACCGGAUUAGAAACCCCAGUAGUCC
rnacentral:rRNA from 1 species